ACGGCUCAGUAACACGUGGAUAACAUGCCCUAAGGUGGGGGAUAAUCUCGGGAAACUGAGGGUAAUACCCCAUAGGUCUGAUAUGCUGGAAUGCUUUCAGGCCGAAAACUCCGGUGCCUUAGGAUUGGUCUGCGGUCUAUCAGGCUGUAGUGGGUAUAACGGACCCACUAGCCCGUGACGGAUAUGGGCCUUGAGAGAGGGAGCCCAGAGAUGGACUCUGAGACAUGAGUCCAGGCCCUACGGGGCGCAGCAGUCGCGAAAACUUCGCAAUGGGGGCAACCCCGACGAGGGAAUUCCAAGUGCCAGCACUUUGUGUUGGCUGUUCUUCUGUCUAAAAAACAGGAGGAGUAAGGGGCGGGUAAGACGGGUGCCAGCCGCCGCGGUAAUACCCGCGCCCCAAGUGGUGGUCGAUAUUAUUGAGCCUAAAACGUCCGUAGCCGGUCUUCUAAAUCCUUGGGUAAAUCGGGCAGCUUAACUGUCCGAAUUCCGGGGAGACUGGGAGACUUGGGACCGGGAGAGGUCAGAGGUACUUCUGGGGUAGGGGUAAAAUCCUGUAAUCCUGGAAGGACCACCGGUGGCGAAGGCGUCUGACUAGAACGGAUCCGACGGUGAGGGACGAAGCCCUGGGGCGCAAACGGGAUUAGAUACCCCGGUAGUCCAGGGUGUAAACGCUGCGGGCUUGGUGUUGGGGGUCCUUAGUGGGCGCCCAGUGCCGGAGAGAAGUUGUUAAGCCUGCUGCUUGGGGAGUAUGUCCGCAAGGAUGAAACUUAAAGGAAUUGGCGGGGGAGCAC
rnacentral:rRNA from 1 species